CAGCGGCCACAUGCAUUUCAUGUCUCCUGGCUUUGUGAUGGCAUUUCAGACAUCACAAUCCUGUCAGUUAUAAGGACCACUUGUCAGGCAUAUUGGCAGAUUUCUUUCAGCUAAAACUCCAGUGAUGUUUCUGUCACAGUUAGGCUGGGGGUUGUGGAUUUGGAGUGAAACACCUAACCAAACUGCCUUCCUCUCAUUGCCAUUUCAAAGUUUCUGCCUUCAUUAAGACAUGGCUGCUCACAUGACUGAGUUCUGCUUGGUAAGCUGCUGUCCUGUGAAUUCGCUUUUCAGUAUGUCUUAGGAGUUGAAGACCAUCAAUCCUGUUUCCUAGCUAUGUCGCCUGGAUAGCCCAAUGGAUCCUCUCAGCAACCAUGAGCUUUGUCUCUAAAAUGGUCUUCUCUUCCCCUGUGAGCACUUAAACAAAGUAAACGUAUCCCAACACAGCAUCAUUUGUAUUGCUGUGUACGGACAGUCCGCUCAACAACAUGGUGAAGCAUGGUAGGCCUUCCUCUUUUUUUCCACUGUUCCUCUUGUGUCCUGAGCCUCUCAUUGUUUUGGGUUUAGUUUCCCAUGGAAUACAAUGCCGUCACAUUUCCAACAACUUCCCAAUACGACUGUGAAGACUCAUGGGGUCACAGUUUUAUAAAAGAGCACAGAAAUCUGAAACUCUGUUGGGUAUCUUUUUUCAUUAGGGAUGCAGUCUAGAAUUCUGUCCCUCCUUGAUUUUUAACAUUGGGUUUGCUAUAGUGUGCUCACACACACAUUGCAUGGCUAUUUGCUCUGAUCUGUCUUCCUC